UACGUAGGGGGCAAGCGUUGUCCGGAUUUAUUGGGCGUAAAGCGCGUGUAGGCGGCCAGGUAGGUCCGUUGUGAAAACUCGAGGCUCAACCUCGAGACGUCGACGGAAACCAUCUGGCUAGAGUCCGGAAGAGGAGAGUGGAAUUCCUGGUGUAGCGGUGAAAUGCGCAGAUGUCAGGAAGAACACCCGUGGCGAAGGCGGCUCUCUGGGACGGUACUGACGCUGAGACGCGAAA
rnacentral:rRNA from 1 species